rnacentral:rRNA from 1 species
AUGUUGAUAUUUUCUCGAGUUAUGGACUGUCAAUUGUAUGAUCGAAGGGUCCACAUUCAUCGAGGUUUUUAUCCAAUACCGAUUAAAGAAUUCACCUUGGAUACAUCCCUUCUCUUCUGUCCAUUCAGACCACCCCGGCUUCAUAGAGGUAUUAUCAAGAGUGCAGAGAUGGCUUGUGGGGGAGGUAGGUUCUUCCAUUCCGUGUUGCUGAGAAUGAGAUGCAGAAAUGGCUUGUUGGGUGUUUCUGUGGUUUGCUCCCUCUUGGGACUACAUAGCACACACUGGUUAACUGUGCAUGGGCUUGUAGGAAUUUAA